ensembl:lncRNA
GUGGAAUUUCACUUAAGCUACCCCUUUUGUUCACCUUUUCAUUAGGGACAAAUAACAAAUGGACACAUUUGGCUUCAGUAAGGAGAUAAGUAUUUCCUGCUGCCAUUAGAAAAAGGGUGAGAGACAAAAAUCAAGUGUUACAACAUGGAGCUGCACAGGAGAUGACUUACUGGCAUUUUUACCUGCUUAAAAUAGACACAUCCAUGUGAGAAAUAUUAAUUAUAGCAAAAGAUUGAACAGUUUUUUCUUACUUUACCAGUAAAGAACAGAGAUCCUGGUAGAUAAUUUAGAGUUGCAAUUAAAGGACCCCUAUUUUUUUUUACAUUAAACCCAACAAACGUUAGGCUGCAUUUCUGCCCUGGUGCUAUUCAACUCAUUCAGAACAUUUUGGUAGCUGGAGAGAAGGAAGCAGCUCUGAGAGCUCAGAACAUUUGCACUGCCACAUCUCAGGGAAACCACAGGCUCAUCUCUCACCACCCCUUCACAUCGUGUCACAGCCAGGAGGUUAGCCAAUGCCUUCCAAUAAGCCAAUCUUUUUUCCAUCUACAAGCCAUUUUUGAGUUACAUCCUUAUUGCUUCGUGCUGAUGAGCACAAUAAGGAAAGCAUCAUGCUCUUCUGAUGAGAAGCCUGUUUCAAAGGCAGUCCUGGACAUAUCAGCACACUCCCUCCUGCCUCAGGGACUGUUUGCACAUGCAUUAUCUCUCAGCUCCUCCAUUCACCAGCUUAGUGCUCAUGUCAUCCCUGCUGAUAUUGUGCAGGGCAUAAUGCACUGUGCGGGCUUGUAUUUGUUCUGACAAUUUGGCUGCAAUUUUCUUUGGCUCUUCACGUCACAUUUGAAUUUAUUUGUAUUUAUUUUAAGCUUCAUUCAAUCAAUUAAAGUCCCCUAGAAAACAAGCACUUGUGGAAUUCCUAAGACUAGAAACCGUGAUAAACUCAUGUGGGACUUUUCACUUUAAUAUACAAUUGAUGAUAUAACGACAGACAGAUCACUUCUACUCACGGUGUUUAUGAAAUACUUAACACCACUCAUGAGUUGAUUCACAUUCAGGGAGCCUGGUUUGGGAUUCAGGCUUGUUGAACUCUUGUCCUCGCCCUAAGCCAGGAAUGGGUCCAUAUGCCCACGCCACCGUUCCCCUUCCCUCUUGGUUUUGAGCCAUUUUUAAAGAGAUACCAACAGAGGAGUCCAUUAUGAAGUAUAAUUUUGAGCAAAUUAUGUGUGGAAGGUAACUCACUUUCAUAUCUUUCUCCACAUAAUCAACUCCAUUUCUUUAUCCCAGAGUUCUUUCUCUCAAGCCUAUACUUGCUUUGUUUUCUCAUCUUUUUCUUCCUCUAGUAAAAUUAUGUGUAUUUUGAAAACCAACAUGCUAUUUGCUUAAAGAGUUAAGUGGUGCAAUGAAACCUUUCCUGUGUUUGUUUUUCCUAGGAAAUGUUUGAUUCUAGCAUGCUGGAUAAGAGGUAUUUUAUAACAUUAUUAGAGAUCUCCUCCUGAAAUUUCACAUCCUCCCGCAAAAACAUUGGCUCAAUCCAAACAAACAUACAUGGUUGUGUGGUGCCAGGAAGGAUUCAUAUUUGGAAGAGGAGAGGUGAGAGCAUUUUUUUCAUAUUGAUCCAGGAAGAGGCUCCAGCCUUCUCCACCACACGGCCUUCCCAGACAGGAGGAGACGCACUGCUACCAUGAAAGAUUCCUAUACUGCAGUCUGGGUUUAAUUCCCAUUAGAUGAUAGGAAGAAAUCUUCAUUACUUAGACUGAGAACCCUUACUGAUUUUUUCUCAAAAAUUCAGGUCUGUCUGGGGAAGCUCCAUGCGCUGCUCAGAAGAUCCUAUCUUUGGGUGAAGCAGGAAUGCAAACCCUCAGCUGCUUCAGAGAGGAUUUUGUACAUCAUUUUUCCACAUGAUUAAAAAUAAUUUGGUAGUGUGUUAAGACAGCAGAAUAUUUGAGAUGCUUUUCUUUUUUUUUUUUUAAAUGCAAAGUCAUUGUCAGGCAUUUCCAUGAUAACCUUUCUGCCUCCUGCGUUUCCAGUUUGUGGGCUCCCCUCUCUGCCUGCUCACAUGUGGGUGAAAAUCGACAUGUUUCUCAACCUCUACAGAAUUUUUGUGCCCAGUAGCAACAAAAGGAGAUGUGACAGGAGCAUGGUACGAUCAUCCACAAGCAAUAAAUAGUUUAUGCCUUAAUUUAAUAUCCUUAACUGAAGAGCACACCCGCAAAGGCCGGUUUGUGGAGCUUGGGGUGGGAGGUUGAAUGCUUUAGCUCAGUGUUGUUCAGCGUGGUGAACAGGGGUUUGCACAUCUCGCCACUCACAGCAAACAGAAUGCCACUGCCCAGGUUAGCAUUUGGGUUUGCUGGUGCCUGAAGAUAUUUUUCUGAGGUCAGUUCAUAAUUCUGACCUCGAACAAUGGGAAAUCCUAUUGAGGUGGCACCGAGGGUGACAUUGGGAGGAUGACAGUGCAGAGCUUCCUGUCCUUGAAAAAAUCCAGUUUAUUUUCAGGCAUCAGGCUGCAAAUUAUAGUUCAGACAAUCAAAGAGCAACUCCCAGGUCUUAAUGUGCCGAGUAUAUCUGGCACGUGUCCAGCCUGCAGCACAUUCUGGUCAAAUAACAUGGAAUCAGCUUUCUCACUCCCAUAGGGAUUUGCUGGUUAAGUACGUUGCCUUCCACAACCACCUAUUUUUUUUUUAAUAUCCUCAUGUGAUCUCACAUCCCUUUACUCCUACCCUGCAGAAAAGCAAAGAAAAAAAAAAAAAACAGAAUGUCAUCUUUACGGCACUUUUGAAGGAAAAAAAAAGCCAGAAACAAAUGUGGAAUGAGUAUGUCACACCAUCACUUACCUCUGAAGUCAGAAGUAACCUUGUCAUUGUGAGAAAUUUUACAGUACAUAGGUCUGACCAAUUUGUCUUUAGGGUCAAGCUAGUGUGUUAUAUGAACAAGGUGGCACCAGAGGUGACCAACAAGAAACACCAUUCCACACUGCCCCAGGCUGAGGUAAUGACAUAUAGGUGAAUGGAUGAAUGGACGGAUGGACAGAUGGAUGGAUGGAUAGAUGGACAGGUGGAUGGAUGGAUGGAUGGAUGGAUGGAUGGAUGGAUGGAUGGAUGGAUGGAUCAGUGGAUGACUGGAUGGAUGAGUGGAUGGAUGAAUGGGUGGGUGGAAGGAAGGAAGGUCACAUCUGGGAAACCCUUCCUCUUCUUCAUAAAUCAGAAUCUAUAACUCUGAAGGUGUAAAGCCCAUGUAUUCUUUUUCAGGGCAUUUUUUUUCUUCAUUCUACCAAUCUGUGCAUACAGUUACAAUUAGUUACAGGAACUUCACUCAUCUAUACCUGAUUCCACUACACCCUACGGCAGUGACUUCUGUCUAUUCAUUAUUUCUCACUCAAAAGCAAAUGCUACUUUGUUGUUGGGUUUGGAGGUAGGUAAGGAAGACAAGCUGAUCAUUGCGCUUAGGAAUUGGAAUACCUAAAUACCUGACCCAGGAUCUGUUACCUAGCAAAUCAUUUUUAUCUUUUUUGAUUUUUUGUCCUUAACACCUUCUUGUGAUAUUUUCAAUGAUUUCUUUUCAAGUGAUAUAUUAAAUCUAUUGCAUUUUGCACACAUUUCUUACAUUAUCAGUGUCUACUAACCAGUAGACUCUACGAGUACCUACUAAACCUAAAAGUUCAGAGAUACAUCUGGAAAUCUCUGCCUAGGUAAUGCAACUCUUAAGUCAAAAGGGAGUCUAAAGUGGGACAUGCUGAGUUUACAAGCAGUUCCUAUAACAUUUGUUUCAGCAUUUUCUGCAGCAUUUUUCUUUCUUGAUUCUCAUGUUCCCUGAGACCUCACUGCAACUGUUGAGAUCAGAUGGUAUGAGCAUGCAAAUUCUGAAGAAAACAAAAUCCAGUUUUAUCCAACUAACUGCUUAAAUCUACCUUAUAUUCGACAGUGCCAGAAAAAUGGAAGGUGGAAAAGAUGACUGUUAAAAGGACCUUGGGGCUCACCCAAGUCAGUGUUUGAGGUCUGUGCCAGGCAACUUUCUGGAAGCUGUAAUGAG